rnacentral:tRNA from 1 species
GCCUGGGUAGUUUAGUCUGGCUAGAACGCAGCGCUCAUGACGCUGCAAUCGUGGGUUCAAAUCCCACCCCAGGCA